UUUAUUUCGCAUUUUGAAAGAUAUCGUUCGAUUCUGCAAUGAGAAAAUAUUUUCGUCUCGAAAUUUUUUUGGACUAUACGUUUUGGCUUCACCAUUCACGGUACGCGUGUGGACAUGAAGCAUUCAGUUCUGUGGAAUAUUGUGGCACGCCUAAUUGUGCAAGUGGAAUUUACAAGAGUGGAAGUCAAUCAAGCGAAAUAAAAAAAAACAAGAACGUCAGUUUUUUGUGAAUGAAUUAACAGACAACACCAUGUAUGCCUAUGCCUUUCAACUGAGAUUGAAAUUUACAAGAGUGAAAGCCAAUCAAGCGAAAUAAAGAGGGACAUUGAUUGGUAAGCAAUAAUGUGCAUGGAAACCCAUCGAUAAGAAAUACGAAGCUUGGCACCAUUUCCAUACAAUACUAUGUAUGGAAAUGGAUUAACAAACAUUACAUGUGCAAAAACGAAUUGACAAGCCAUACUAUGUAUGGAAAUGGAUUAACAAACAUUACAUGUGCAAAAACGAAUUGACAAGCCAUACUAUGUAUGGAAAUGGAUUAGGAGACAAUAAGUGUGCAAGAACGGAUUGACAAACCAUGCUAUGCAUGGAAAUGGAUUAAGAGACAAUACGUGUGCAAGAACGGAUUGACAAACCAUACUAUGUAUGGAAAUGGAUUAAGAGACAUUAAAUGUGCAAAAACGAAUUGACAAGCAAUACUAUGUAUGGAAAUGGAUUAGAAGACAAUACAUGUGCAAAAACGAAUUGACAAGCAAUACUAUGUAUGGAAAUGGAUUAAGAGACAAUACGUGUGCAAGAACGGAUUGACAAACCAUACUAUGUAUGGAAAUGGAUUAAGAGACAAUACGUGUGCAAGAACGGAUUGACAAACCAUACUAUGUAUGGAAAUGGAUUAAGAGACAUUAAAUGUGCAAAAACGAAUUGACAAGUAAUACUAUGUAUGGAAAUGGAUUAGAACACAAUACAUGUGCAAAAACGAAUUGACAAGCGAUACUGUGUAUGGAAAUAGAUUAAAGACAUUACCACUGGCAAAAAUGUGUUGAUUAAGAAGCAAUGCUAUGCGCAGAAAUGGAUUGACAAGCAAUAAAUACUACAUCUUGCUUGUCAAUCCGUUUUUGCACAUAUUUUUGCACUGACACCUUUCGCAUAGAGAGCAGAAUUGUAACAGUGGAAGGUAAUCAAGUGGAAUGAAGAACUAUGUAAGUCUGAUUUUACAGUUUGCAUAACAAGUUUAAAGAAUAAUUAACUAAGUUUUUUUUUUAAUUUCCGGAAAAUUACUUUUUAAAUAUCUCAUUAAUAUAAAAUGACAAUAAUUUUGCAUAAAUUAGUAUUACUUUAAAAUUUUGAAAUAUACUGUCUGAUGAAAUUUAUGUACUUAUAUUAAGGCAUCUUGGCACCAUUUGGCCAUUUUUUAUGGAAAAUGCAAAAGUUAUUAUGAAUGCAAUUUGGUGGAUUUCGCAGCUUUUUUUGAAAAGAUUCUCAAAUGAUCCAUAUUUAUCAAGCAAUCCAACUUUAUAAACAUACAUUAGCAAUUUAAGAUAUCAAUUUUAAUUACUAAAUGAGAAUUACGUGGUGUAUUAAAAAAUAGAACACUAAUAUUCUUCUCCAAAUCUUUCCGUAAUUUGUUUUUCUCUAUUUCUCCUUCCCAAUAACAAAACGAUAUGUUUUCAGUUAAAAAAACAUCAAAGAAUUGUAGAAUUGUGAAAAGCUAAGGUUCAGCUAGCUAUCUACCAAACGCCAAACACAUCUUUUCGUUGUUCCCUUUAGAAAUUUGGCGGCAAAAUUCUAUAUUCCCACAAAAAUUUCACCGCUGUUUUCUUCUAUACUAGCACACUCUACAAGCGCAUAUUUUAAAUUUAGUUUUAAGGCCAAAAAUAUCACGAUUUGUUUAUAAAGGGCAUUGGAACUUGGAAUACAACAAAAAGAACGAAUAUGAUAAUAGUGGUUUUAACUAAAGGACUGUUAUAAGCAUGGUUGUCUGAAGAAUGGUAAUGGACAUAGUUGCCAGAUUGUGGCAUAUUCUGAAAUUUUGGCGAUUUCUACAAAGUAGUUACGGUAAGAACGUAAGUACCAAAUUGUAACUACAAAUGUAUUUUUGGGUAUUGUUUUCAUUAAAAUGGUCUUUUAGAUCUUAUGAGAUACCAUUUGAUUCUUUUUCAGAAUGUACUUUUUUAUGACAAUUUUUUAAAAGGUUCUUUUAUUCCUUUAGAAUAAACAUUUCAGUAGGAAUGGGAAAUAAAUGUAAUAUUUUGGGAGCUAUUUAUAUGUCUUAAAUUUUACUACUGUACUUUUAGAUUGGUUAUUAUAAUAAAAUGUUAAUUAUAUUCAGCA